rnacentral:tRNA from 1 species
GCCUGUAGCUCAGUGGUAGAGCAGGGGACUCAUAAUCCCUUGGUCGCGGGUUCGAACCCCUCCGGGCC